rnacentral:rRNA from 1 species
UACGUAGGGACCGAGCGUUGUCCGGAAUCAUUGGGCGUAAAGAGCGUGUAGGCGGCCACUUAAGUCCUGCGUGAAAUCUUGCGGCUCAACCGCAAGCGGUCGUGGGAAACUGGGUGGCUAGAGUGCGGGAGAGGAGAGUGGAAUUCCUGGUGUAGCGGUGGAAUGCGCAGAUAUCAGGAAGAACACCCGUGGCGAAGGCGGCUCUCUGGGACGGUACUGACGCUGAGACGCGAAAGCGUGGGGAGCGAACAGG